CCUACGGGAGGCAGCAGUGAGGAAUCUUCCGCAAUGGGCGAAAGCCUGACGGAGCGACACCGCGUGAAGGAUGAAGUCAUUUUUUGACGUAAACUUCUGUUCUGAGGGAAGAAAUUUUUGACGGUACCUCAGGAGAAAGCAUCGGCUAACCCUGUGCCAGCAGCCGCGGUAAGACAGGGGAUGCAAGCGUUACUCGGAAUUACUGGGCGUAAAGCGUCUGUAGGCGUCUUCUUAAGUCUGGGGUUAAAGUUCGGGGCUCAACCCCGUGAUUGUCCCGGAAACUGGGAGGAUUGAGCUAUGCAGAGGUAUCUGGAAUGCCGUGAGUAGGGGUAAAAUCCGUAGAUACACGGUAGAACGCCAAAAGCGAAGGCAGGAUACUGGGCAUAUGCUGACGCUGAGAGACGAAAGCGUGGGGAGCAAAGGGGAUUAGAUACCCCCGUAGUCCACGCCCUAAACGAUGCGUGCUCGAUGUGGGACAUUUUCAAUUGUGUUCCGUGUCUUAGCUAACGCGGUAAGCACGCCGCCUGGGAAGUACGGUCGCAAGACUAAACUCAAAGGAAUUGACGG
rnacentral:rRNA from 1 species